CGGGGGGGGCGGGUUACGUAACGCCGAGAGUCGUUCCCCGCCUUCCCUCCGCCACGCAGCUCUACGGGGACAACAAGGCGACAAGCGGGAAGAAGGGAUGAAGAAAGAGGGAAGGACGAUACCCACCUCCGCCCGCGAUGGUCGCUUUGAUCAGGGAAUCCAGCUCCUCAUCGCCACGGAUUGCCAGCUGCAAGUGACGGGGAGUGAUCCGCUUGACUUUCAGAUCCUUGGAAGCGUUGCCCGCCAGCUCCAGUACCUGCCGAGAAAUCGGGAAGACGCUCAGGAUCCCGAGGGGAA